rnacentral:rRNA from 1 species
CCUACGGGAGGCUGCAGUGAGGAAUAUUGGUCAAUGGACGAGAGUCUGAACCAGCCAAGUAGCGUGAAGGAUGACUGCCCUAUGGGUUGUAAACUUCUUUUAUAUGGGAAUAAAAUGUUCCACGUGUGGGAUUUUGUAUGUACCAUAUGAAUAAGGAUAGGCUAACUCCGUGCCAGAAGCCGCGGUAAUACGGAGGAUCCGAGCGUUAUACGGAUUGAUUGGGUGUAAAGGGAGCGUAGGUGGGUUGUUAAGUCAGUUGUGAAAGGUUGCGGCUCAACCGUAAAAUUGCAGUUGAAACUGGCAGUAUUGAGUGCUGUAGAGGUGGGCGGAAUUCGUGGUGUAGCGGUGAAAUGCUUAGAUAUCACGAAGAACUCCGAUUGCGAAGGCAGCUCACUGGACUGCAACUGACACUGAGGCUCGAAAGUGUGGGUAUCAAACAGGAUUAGAUACCCUUGUAGUC